GUUUUAUGCAUAAGGGCAGUGAAAAGUACCAAUAUUUAUGUAUAGUUGCAUGUUUUCAUAAGCGUAAAUUGGGUCCCAGGCUGAAAAGGUUUAAGAACCCCUGAUUUAGAGAUGACAUAACAACCAUUCAAUGGUGUUGUUCAUGCCUCCGCGAUACAGCUAUUUUUAUAAAAAAUAUUUUUUUAAAUAGAAGAAACAUUUUGAUGUUGCUACGGCAACCAAUUAUUUCACAGAGACGAUUUCAGAGUACUCUCGUCUGUGUGCCAAAGUGCAGAAUAAAUUAUGAAUUUACAAAUGCUCAACACCUGUUGAAUAUAGCCGGUGUCAGUAAACGUUGGCAAAAAAAAGCGUAAUUAAAUUGUUGCCAGCACGGUUACAGUCACCAACGCUCUAGAUAACAUGAAAACUGCCUAACCAGCUUUUCUACGAUGAGUAACAUGAUCAGAGUGAGGUGUUCUCCCAUUUGUGUCUGGAAGUAGCUCGCAAACUAGCCAAAUGGACAAUCUGACAACGCUCUGAAUUUACAAACGUCCAGAGCGCACUCUGAGCUGAGCGCACUCCAUAUUGAAUUUACCAACACACCACUUCUCUGAACAAAUGUGUGGAAUGUUGCUCCAGGUAUCUAGAAACUAGCCUGGGUACCAGUCUGUUUGUGCUAACAUUCCACUCGUUGUACUCUUUAUCCUAUGCCAAACAUGACUAGCUAGAAACCGAGGAUGGAGACACUUUGUUCUGCUCCUAGUCAUCUCAUCUGUCCAAAUAUAGUUAGAAUGCCCCCCUCUGUUCAAAUAUAGAUCUAUUCUCCCCCUCCGUUUAACUAUAGUUAGAAUGCCCCCCUCUGUUCAAAUAUAGGUCUAUUCUCCCCCUCCGUUUAAAUAUAGUUAGAAUGCCCCCUCUGUUCAAAUAUAGGUCUAUUCUCCCCCUCCGUUUAAAUAUAGUUAGAAUGCCCCCUCUGUUCAAAUAUAGGUCUAUUCUCCCCCUCUGUUUAAAUAUAGUUAGAAUGCCC
ensembl:lncRNA